CAUCCUCCAAGGCUAAAUACUCCUGACUGACCGAUAGUGAACCAGUACCGUGAGGGAAAGGCGAAAAGAACCCCGGCGAGGGGAGUGAAAAAGAACCUGAAACCGUGUACGUACAAGCAGUGGGAGCCCCACCACCAAAGCAUUCUCUGGUGUUGAAGGCCCUGCAAAGCAGCAUCGCGGUGGCGGAGCGUCGUUUGCGACGCCCAACACACAAAACAAGCGGUGAGUGCUUUGGGGUGGGGUGACUGCGUACCUUUUGUAUAAUGGGUCAGCGACUUAUAUUCUGUAGCAAGGUUAACCGCAUAGGGGAGCCGGAGGGAAACCGAGUCUUAAUUGGGCGUUAAGUUGCAGGGUAUAGACCCGAAACC
rnacentral:rRNA from 1 species